rnacentral:rRNA from 1 species
GGCUCCUUGUAGAUAUAUUAAAUAAGGAGUCGGGCCUGCCCGGUGAUUUUUUUAACGGCCGCGGUACUCUGACCGUGCAAAGGUAGCGUAAUCAUUUGCCUUAUAAUUAAAGGCCUGUAUGAAUGGUUUGACAAGAAUACAGCUGUCUCUUUAUAAUUAAAUAAAAUUUUAUUUAUGGGUGAAGAAGCCUAUAUUAUAUUGAAAGACAAGAAGACCCUAUCGAGCUUUAAAGAAAUUAAUAAGCUAUACAUUUAAUACGAUAUAAAAAUUAAUUAUUAAAAAUUUUGGUUGGGGCGACUAAGGAACCAAAAAAGCUUCCUUUUUUUGUAUAAACAAUCAGGUAAUGACCCAAAAAUUUUGGUUAAAGAAAUUAGUUACCGUAGGGAUAACAGCAUUAUCUUUUUUGAGAGUUCUAAUCGAAAAAAAGGCUUGUGACCUCGAUGUUGGACCAGAAUAUCCUGAAGAUGCAGCCGUCUUCAAGGGUUGGUCUGUUCGACCAUUAAAAUUCU